UGGAAGGAGGAGGAGCUCCAUCUGUGCUCUCUUCUCCGCAGUCACAGCUCUCAGGCUCUUUGCAUCUAGACCCAUUCUAAAUAAACCAAGCAGAUUCCCAAGGGACCCUUGCAGACAAGUCAGCUCAGGGGAGGCGGCUGAGGCGGGGUGCGGGCUGCUAGUGGGGUGCAGCCCCAUAGCCGGGGCUGGCCCUGCCAGCGUUCCUUUCCUGGGAAGAGGUGGAAGUGCUGAGCUCUGCAGACUUGGAAGCAAGGGAAGGCCCAAGAUGCUGGAGAGGAGCCGGGCUACCCCAUGGGGAACACGCUGAGCUAUUGCUUGGGCACCAACGCCAGCCUCAAGCGGGGCCAGCGCAGGAGGUCUGGGGAGCUGUCCUGCAGUGCUGACAUCUAUGAGGCAGCGUCAAGCAAAGGUGUAGGCCAAGGCAGAGAGGAGUGGAGGCGCCGCAGAUGGAACAUGCUGCUCCCUGAUGCCAGCCCCAAGCAAAGCCAGCGCAGGGUGCUGUGGGCGGAACCGCCCUGCAGCUAUAACUUCACGGAGGCAGAGGUGGCAGUAAAAAUAAAAAUCCCCACACCCCACUGCUGUGGAGCCUGCCCAGUCGGAUUUCGGAGCCCGCGAGGGCCAUGACCUGCAGCACAUCAGCGACCAGCAGAUGCCCAAAAAUUUUGCUUCUGACCGUCCAAGGGAAAGCACACUCUUCCUGAGAAAAUAUCAAAUGAGUGUGUAAGAAAAGAGGAGCAGCUCUCACCUAUAUUAUAUCUCCUCCCUACCCUGUCUUUCAUGUACUUGUGGGAGACCCUGAUGGAAGAGUGUGAUAACAUGAUGCAGACAAGCAUAUCCCAAUAGGAAGAAGGAAGGCUCAUAUACCUGCAUGUCAUCUUGAUAGAAAAUACAGCUCAUGUUCCACCAUAUUGCUAGAUAACAGCACAGCCAGCCAGCCUGAUCUUAGACAUACAUUAGAAAGUGUGGCUUUGGCAAUAUAUUAUAACAUAAAGCACAGCAUGUGGUUAGAGGACUGAAAAUAGAUACAGUUUAUUACCAUUGCCUGUUAGCGGGGGUCAAUAUUUAAAGGCAAGUCUGGCUCAUCAAUGUAGAAAAGACUUCACAGUUCACGACAUAAUGUGCUGAAGAAAAACAGGUCAAGAAACCCUCUGAAGGCCAGGAUCCAGGAGAAAAAUUUGCAAAAACUCUUUUGAUGAACAAAUUUUACCAAAGCAAACAAGAGUUAUGCAAAUAGAUCUCUGGCUAUUUUUGAAGAGCCAAUACAUCCACUUUCACAAGAGAAGCUUCCAGGGAAAUCCUUCAAGCAUGAUCCCAAACACAAC